rnacentral:tRNA from 1 species
UGCUUGGUAACUUAGUUGGUACAGCACUCGCCUUGCAUACAGAAGUCGUGUGUUCGAAUCCCACCUGAGCAC